rnacentral:rRNA from 1 species
GACAUAGGUGGCGAACGUUAUCCGGAAUUAUUGGGCGUAAAGGGCGCGUAGGCGGGAUGGCAAGUCGGUCGUGAAAUCCCUCGGCUCAACUGAGGAUCGUCGAUCGAUACUGCCGUUCUUGAGGAUUGCAGAGGAGACUGGAAUUCCCGGUGUAGCGGUGAAAUGUGUAGAGAUCGGGGGGAACACCGGUGGCGAAGGCGGGUCUCUGGGCAAUUCCUGACGCUGAGGCGCGAAAGCGUGGGGAGCAAACGGG